UGCCAGACUUGGAACCGGGAGAGGUAAGAGGUACUACAGGGGUAGGAGUGAAAUCUUGUAAUCCCCUGUGGGACCACCUGUGGCGAAGGCGUCUUACCAGAACGGGUUCGACGGUGAGGGACGAAAGCUGGGGGGCACGAACCGGAUUUAGAUACCCGGGUAGUCCCAGCCGUAAACGAUGCUCGCUAGGUGUCAGGCAUGGCGCGACCGUGUCUGGUGCCGCAGGGAAGCCGUGAAGCGAGCCACCUGGGAAGUACGGCCGCAAGGCUGAAACUUAAAGGAAUUGGCGGGGGAGCACAACAACGGGUGGAGCCCCUGCGGUUUAAUUGGACUCAACGCCGGACAACUCACCGGGGGCGACAGCAAUAUGUAGGCCAAGCUGAAGACUUUGCCUGAAUCGCUGAGGAGAGGUGCAUGG
rnacentral:rRNA from 1 species